rnacentral:rRNA from 1 species
GACGGAGGGUGCUAGCGUUGUUCGGAAUCACUGGGCGUAAAGGGUGCGUAGGCGGGUCUUUAAGUCAGGGGUGAAAUCCUGGAGCUCAACUCCAGAACUGCCUUUGAUACUGAGGAUCUUUGAGUUCGGGAGAGGUGAGUGGAACUGCGAGUGUAGAGGUGAAAUUUCGUAGAUAUUCGCAAAGAACACCAGUGGCGAAGGCGGCUCACUGGCCCCGAUACUGACGCUGAGGCACGAAAAGCGUGGGGA